AUGGUUGUUCAAGCAGUUAAAAUAUAAAAACUUCGCAUUCGUAAUGCGAAGGUCGUAGGUUCGACUCCUAUUAUCGGCACCA
rnacentral:tRNA from 3 species